rnacentral:rRNA from 1 species
CUAACCAGGAUUCCCCUAGUAACGGCGAGUGAAGAGGGAAAAGCCCAGCACCGAAGCCUGUGGCCAUUUGGCUACUAGGCAAUGUGGUGUUUAGGCCGACUCGCGGGACUGCCGCUCCACUCGAAGUCCAGCAUUGAGUAUGGUCACUGGAUUUGGCCCAGAGAGGGUGAUAGGCCCGUACGGGUGGAGUUUCAGACAUGUAAGGCAGUUCACCAGGUCGACCUUCGAGUCGGGUUGUUUGAGAAUGCAGCCCAAAGUGGGUGGUAAACUCCAUCCAAGGCUAAAUACAAGCACGAGUCCGAUAGCGAACAAGUACCGUGAGGGAAAGUUGAAAAGUACUUUGAAGAGAGAGUAAACAGUACGUGAAACCGCAUGCAGGUAAACGGGUGGCGUCAAGCUGCAAUCCUGGAGAAUUCAGCCGGCUAGUGUGUCGUAUAUGCGCCUGGCGCUUCAUCAGUCAGAAUAAGAUGUGAUAGUCUACCGGGCAACGGUAGGCCGGGCCGCAAGGCUCGGUUAUGUGUACCGGGCGGAAGCCGGAGCAUGCUAUUCAUCUGUUGGACUGGCUAGCCGGUGCACUUUCUCUAUGGUGAACACCACGAUCGGUGGAAUUGCCAGUCUGCUGUAGUCAAGUCGUAGCUGAUAAGUUCUUGCAAUUUAUUGGUUGCGAUCACAGGCAAUGUCAGUAUACGGCGUAGAGGUGUUUUGUCAUCUUUGCGUGAUAUCGGCUACUGCUUGUCAACGAGCCUGCCUUGCAGUUGUUGUAAUCGCUGCUUGGUGGCUUGGUGGACUACAGUGGUAUGUAUAACUGUGCAAGGCACCGGGGAUUACGGCUUCAAAUGCGCUCUGCAUACACGUUACAAGUGGUGUGGGGUGCCAUUGCUGCCUGCUUACUGUUGAGUCUGAUUGUCGUGUUGCCUGCAAAAAGUAGGCCCGGCAGUGGCUUAAUGUGAGAUGGGUAGUUGGUGGUGCUUCGCGUGCAGGGUGUUGUGGGCCAAAUAAUCAGUGGUGCAGUGGUAGACGAGCUACCCGACCCGUCUUGAAACACGGACCAAGGAGUUCAACAUGUAUGCGAGUCAAUGGGCCCUACGAAACCCAAAGGCGCAAUGAAAGUAAAGCUUCGACUUGUUCUCGAAGUGAGGUGAGAUCCUGCCGUUACUCGCAUCAGCCUAAUGCCAGCAUCAGGCUAAGAGCGGUGGGCGCAUCACCGGCCCGUCCCAUGAUGUGGCCAUUGGC